rnacentral:rRNA from 1 species
CCUACGGGCGGCUGCAGUGAGGAAUAUUGGUCAAUGGACGAGAGUCUGAACCAGCCAAGUAGCGUGAAGGAUGACUGCCCUAUGGGUUGUAAACUUCUUUUAUAUGGGAAUAAAACGUUCCACGUGUGGGAUUUUGUAUGUACCAUAUGAAUAAGGAUCGGCUAACUCCGUGCCAGCAGCCGCGGUAAUACGGAGGAUCCGAGCGUUAUCCGGAUUUAUUGGGUUUAAAGGGAGCGUAGGUGGAUUGUUAAGUCAGUUGUGAAAGUUUGCGGCUCAACCGUAAAAUUGCAGUUGAAACUGGCAGUCUUGAGUACAGUAGAGGUGGGCGGAAUUCGUGGUGUAGCGGUGAAAUGCUUAGAUAUCACGAAGAACUCCGAUUGCGAAGGCAGUUCACUGGACUGCAACUGACACCGAGGCUCGAAAGUGUGGGUAUCAAACAGGAUUAGAUACCCCUGUAGUC